CGGGGCGUGGCGCAGUCUGGAAGCGCACCUGAAUGGGGUUCAGGGGGCCGGAGGUUCGAAUCCUCUCGCCCCGACCA
rnacentral:tRNA from 2 species